CUGUCCGUACAGCCAUCUCACCGCGUCUCUGCCCACAGGUUCACCAACGCCAGAGUGACGGCUAAGUACUACGGCAUCAAGCUGGAGUACCGUGAGCAGCGACACACGGUCUACGAGCUGCUGGGCCAGCUCAACGCCAAGCUGAAGGCCUGGAAGGGCCCCUACAGCUCCCAGGACUCGGUGCGCUCCCUCCUGCAGGACUGGCACGUGAGUCCACCCGUUGUGCCGCCAUCUUGAUAAGCCUGAUAAGAUGGCUUGUUGUGAUUUGUUGGGAAUGUAAAUUGUGUGUAAUGUGAAGUUCUGUCAUUUGUUUAUAGUGCUGUUAUUGGCACGUUCACUAGCCUGUUAGAAUUGGUGCCCAUAUGUGAACGUAGCAAAGUUUGCUUUACUUGGAUCAAAGUUACAAAGAGAACCUUUAAGUGCAGCAAGAUAGCAGUGAGUGUAAUAGUGUGUUGGAAAUGUAAUGUGGGUCAAUGUGAAUGUCUUAUGGCAGGAGACUGUGGACAAACAGUGCCUGGUGUCCAUGCUGAAGGCUGCCGUGCAUAAACUGAAGCAGACAGCCAGCACCUACACAAGCAAGGCUGCCCUUGCGGACGAUGCCCAGAUGGUGAGUCGGCAGGUGAAGGAGGUUGAGGCGGAGGUGUUCACGAGUGCGGAGCGUGUGAUGACGGUGCGAGGCACCAUGGGCCGUGUGCUGGCUGCCUGGGAGUCCUACAGAGACUGCCUCUUCUCCAUGCAGGUCUGGCUGGGCCAACAGACAGACUCUACAGAGGCCACAGACUCCACAGGGAAGGAGGACAGCCUGCGUGAGUGGAGUGGCCUCCACGCUCACCUGAACGAGGUGGGAAACUACCUGAUCGAGUCCACGGACGACUCCACCAGCUACGGCCUGGCAGACGAGCUGUGCAAGGUCAACAUGCAGUGGGCUGACUUGGUCAAACGCACUCGAUUUGUGAGUACGCCCCCUGCUGGCCCUUACAGGGCUAGGUCAGUUAGAGCUGAACAUACACUAGAUACAGUUCAGUUCGUCUCACAGUCAGUUAGAGCUGAACACACACUAGAUACAGUUCAGUUCGUCUCACAGUCAGUUAGAGCUGAACACACACUAAAUACAGUUCAGUUCGUCUCACAGUCAGUUAGAGCUGAACACACACUAGAUACAGUUCAGUUCAUCUCACAGUCAGUUAGAGCUGAACAUACACUAAAUACAGUUCAGUUCAUCUCACAGUCAGCCCCGGGCAUUCAGACUCUUGGUAGAGAGGCACUCAAUACUCCCAUUCACCUACAUUAUAUUCCCCCCUUUUUCCUUUCAUACUGUCAGUAUUCGCCUUCUUCUAAUUAA
rnacentral:lncRNA from 1 species